UGCAUUCACUACUGUAUGUCACUCUGGAUAAGAGCGUCUGCUAAAUGACUAAGA
rfam:Salmo salar isolate Sally breed double haploid chromosome ssa12, whole genome shotgun sequence.